rnacentral:rRNA from 1 species
AUUGAUAAGUUUGAAGUGAAAUCCUAUAGCUUAACUAUAGAACUGCUUUGAAAACUGUUAAUCUAGAAUGUGGGAGAGGUAGAUGGAAUUUCUGGUGUAGGGGUAAAAUCCGUAGAGAUCAGAAGGAAUACCGAUUGCGAAGGCGAUCUACUGGAACAAUAUUGACGCUGAGACGCGAAAGCGUGGGGAGCAAACAGGAUUAGAUACCCUGGUAGUCCACGCCCUAAACGAUGUACACUAGUUGUUGUGAGGCUCGACCUUGCAGUAAUGCAGUUAACACAUUAAGUGUACCGCCUGGGGAGUACGGUCGCAAGAUUAAAACUCAAAGGAAUAGACGGGGACCCGCACAAGCGGUGGAGC